GAUGAACGCUGGCGGCGUGCCUAAUACAUGCAAGUCGAGCGAACAGACGAGGAGCUUGCUCCUCUGACGUUAGCGGCGGACGGGUGAGUAACACGUGGAUAACCUCCCUAUAAGACUGGGAUAACUUCGGGAAACCGGAGCUAAUACCGGAUAAUAUAUUGAACCGCAUGGUUCAAUAGUGAAAGACGGUUUUGCUGUCACUUAUAGAUGGAUCCGCGCCGCAUUAGCUAGUUGGUAAGGUAACGGCUUACCAAGGCUACGAUGCGUAGCCGACCUGAGAGGGUGAUAGGCCACACGGGAACUGAGACACGGUCCAGACUCCUACGGGAGGCAGCAGUAGGGAAUCGUCCGCAAUGGGCGAAAGCCUGACGGAGCAACGCCGCGUGAGUGAUGAAGGUCUUCGGAUCGUAAAACUCUGUUAUUAGGGAAGAACAAAUGUGUAAGUAACUAUGCACGUCUUGACGGUACCUAAUCAGAAAGCCACGGCUAACUACGUG
rnacentral:rRNA from 1 species